UACAAAGCUAUGUUGCACCGGCACUUCACAAACAUGCUGUCUUCUGCAGGCAUAUGCAGGUUACAUCAGAUACACGUAUAUUUAUUUUCAAUUUCAAACUAUACAAAAGCCACUUGGAUAUACCGGGAUACUAACAGAGCAAGUACAAGUCAAGCAUAAAGUUAUCAACUGGUGGUUAUGUUUUCUUAUUUGCGGAACUUCGUCAUCGAAUUCUUGAUAAGAUAUUAGGUGCUGAUCGCUGGUUAACCUGUUAUUCACAGAGCAGCAUGCAGUAAGAUAAGGCCCCGGCAUGGACAAGAGGGAGCAGCAUUGGAGCAUGAUCAAACAUGGAGAUGGAAGCAAGCACAAACAAUGAAGACGGAGCCGCAAGUGGAGAUCUCAGGGCAAAAGCCACCAUAGUGAUGCAUGAAUACAUGGAGGAAAUACAGAAGAUGAAAGUUCAUAAUUUCGACCAUGGCUAUCUAUAGAUGCCAAGACCGCUUUAGAACCCCAACUUUCAUCAAUACUUCAUCAUUAUUCACCAUAAUCAUAAUUCUAUUUUCAUA